rnacentral:tRNA from 1 species
GCCGCAGUAGCUCAGUUGGUAGAGCACGAAAAAACAGGUCUUGACAAAGGCCUUGACAGCAAUACAUAACACCUUCAGAGUGCGGUGUCGCGGGUUCGAGUCCCGUCUGCGGCG